rnacentral:lncRNA from 1 species
UGACAUAUGGAAUUUCCCAGGUUAGGGGUCAAAUUGGAGCCCCAGCCUCUGGCGUACAUCACAGCCACAACACCACCAGAUAUGAGGAGCUGCAUCUGCAACCUCUGCCACAGCUCACAGCAAUGUCAGAUCCUUAACCCACUGAGCCACAAUGGGAGCUCCUAAGUAUUCAAUCUUUAAAAACUAGGAACAGAAGCACAAUUUAAUCCUAAAUAGAGUAGGAGAAAGCAAAUAAGACAAAUUGAUAAGGUAGGAAAUGGAGAAACAAGAAUGUACAUUAAAACAUUUAAAAAUAAAACCAACAAAAUAAACAAAUCUCAAAACAAGCUUUAUUUUUUUUCCCUCAAACUAAACUGUGUUAAAAAGAAAUAGAAGAGGCUCUACCUACGCAAUAUAGAUUUAAAAAGAAACAACACAGUAACUCUGCCGUGGGGAUACAAAGCAGACAGAGCCUGAGGAAUCCUGGACAACUUAGAGACCCUGCUGUUUGAACUGCAUCAUUACCUGACAUGUAUGGUGUUCCUGCUGUAACAUCUUAUGCAGUUAAAAGUGUCAGUGGCCCUCUUUUUAAGUCAUCAGAAUUGUUGCUUGGAUUUCAGCCAGUCCUCAGGUUGAAAAAUGUAACCCACCUCGUCUGGUGAUGAGACACUUCGGGACCACACGUGCUCAUCCUCAGUUUGUUGCUCACCGUUUAGAUCGAAGAGAAGACUUGGGGAGUUCCUGUCGUGGAGCAGCAGAAACGGAUCUGACUAGGAACCGUGAGGUUGCGCGUUCGAUCCCUGGCCCCGCUCAUUGGGUUAAGGAUCUGACCUUGCCGUGAGCUGUGGUGUAGGUCGCAGACUUGGCUCAGAUCUGGCGUUGCUGUGGCUGUGGUGUAGACCUGCGGCUACAUCUCUGAUUUAACCCCUAGCCUGGGAACCUCCAUAUGCCACAGGUGCAGCCCUAAAAAGCAAAAAAAAAAAAAAAAAAAGGGAGGGGGAGAGAAGGCUUGGUGUUAGAAUGUGCUCUCUUAUUUCUCAUAGUAUUUACAGAUGGCCACCGUGUCACACAACUGCUGUGGAAACAUUCCCAGAAUCCCAUGUGUGUGCCCACCUUGGAGCCGUGUGCAGCAAGGCAGCCCUCCGGGGGUACAGAUGGAGGUAGAGGUAAGAACGAGCAAAGUCAGAUCAAAGGAAGGUGACUGAGAUUCCCGAAGGUGUUUUGAGCCUGGUAUAAAAGGAGUGGAGAGAGAUUAUUGAUGGGAAAAUUAAGGGUGUGUUGCCCACAUGAGACUCACCAUUAACAAAGAUUUAGAGGCAACAGCAGGUCUCUUAUGUGCAGCGAUGCCUGGCAGACUGUCUCAGUUAAAGAAAGAAUGGUGGUACCAGACUCUCCCGGCAGAUUAGGGUGGACGGAUUUAAAGACUGGACUGGGUCCUUUGCUCACCCACAUUCAGCCUUGAUAGUUUAAUUUGGACCGCAGUGACCCCCUUUCCAGCUGUCUGCUUAAUUUCCUCCUGUAAGUAUCCACUGCUAUUCUAACUUAGACAGUUUCUCUUCUCCCUAGCCCAGUCCUGCCCUUACUCAUAACCACAGGCUCAAUCUUUUCAUCUCCCUCAUUAACUUCUUCUCGUCUGAAAUUCAGUCUUUAAGUUCUUUUGAUCUUUACCUCACAGAGUUUCUUCAGAAAAACUUCUAAGCAACCAAUGCAGAAAUUCUCAGAGUCUCCGAUUUCAGAGACUGUCUUUUAUUUUCCAUCUGAGCAGGCAAGUUCUGAACUAAAAACCACCUCCUGCUUGGUGAGACAGUGAGUGGGUUGUUGAAAACUGGUGGCAGUAGGUGAUUUUUAAUGGAUCCUACAUGUCUAUUUCUACUUUAUUAACUGUAUUAUGUUAACCUUCUUUAAGUUGCUUCAGAUAUUUGUGGAAAGCUGUGGGGCAUAGAUAAACUGAAUGUGCAAGAUGUUUUAAGAAUUGAGGAGUUCCUGUUGUGGUACAGUGGAAAGGAAUCUGACUAGGACCCGUGAGAUUGCAGGUUCGAUCCCCGGCCUUGAUUAGCGGGUUAAGGAUCUGGCCUUGCCGUGAGCUGUGUUGUAGGUCACAGACUUGGCUUGGAUCUGGCGUUGUUGUGGCUGUGGUGUAGGCUGGUUCCCUAGCAUGGGAACCUCCAUAUGCUGCAGGUGUGUCCCUAAAAAGCAAAUAAAUAAAUAAAUAAAAGAUGUUUCAAGAAUUUAGACUCCCUUUAUCUGUCUUGUCCUUUGCCAUCCCACAGCCUCUACCCCUGGCAAGGUAGGCUCCUUAUAGUGAGAGGACAGCAGAUUUACAGAUUGGUCCUUUGGUCUCUGUGUUUUGAGAUGUAUCUUUUUAUACACAGUUUGAUUCAUGUUCUUAAUCCCAGCUUUGGUUCUUCUUCUCAACUGGCCCCUGAUCUUGUUAUAUCUGGUUCUAUGUCAUGCUUUUAUUUACUCUUUCAAACAUAUGGCCCUGGUGGAAACAGAGCAGUGAAUCUACAAUAUUUUUUUGUCAUAUCCUUGGAGGUGGGUGGGGGCUUCCACGUGGUACAUGGGUUCCUGGAGUGCUAGUCCAGUGGCACCUACUUAGGGGCCCAGGCUGCUGAUUUUUGCAGUCAAUCCUCCUGUGCUGUGCUCUGAGGGAACCUAUUAUGGAUUACCUGACCCAGGUUGUCAGAAACACACACAAAGGCAAAAUAGCUGGGCUAGGACACUUUAGGGAGAUAGGGAAAUAAAAUCAGAAGAAUCUGAGGCCAAGAGACCAGAACUUAUAUACAAAAAGGAAUACAAAGACCAGAAAUGUGGAUAUACAGAGAAGGAGAAAGUCCUUGGCCUUUGGAUUAUGUGGCUCAUUCAUAGUGGGUAUUUGAAUGUUUCUUGACAUGGAAUGAAACUUGGAAUUGUGAGGAACGAUGGAACAUAUUGGAACUAUGUAGGAAAGAGUGUGAGAAAUUACUUGAGAUAUGUAAAACCACCUUAAGAGGUAUAAAAGAUGUACAGAUAAAUGCAAAGAAAACUCUCUUUGCACACGUCUUAAUUAAACCACUGAAAACUAAAGAAAAGAGAAAAUGUUAAAAAGGUGCCAGAGGAGAACACAAUAAUUUCAGAAGAUCAAUAAGACUGACAGCCGACUUCGCAACAGAAACAAUGGAAAGCAAAACACAAGCUCUGCAACAGAGUAAAUUUUUUUAAAGUAUAGUUGAUUUACAAUGUUGUGCCAGUUUCUACUGUACAGCAGUGACUUAGUCAUUAGUCAUAUAUAUAUAUAUACACACACACACACAUUCUUUUUAAUAUUAUUUUCUUUUUUCCCCCAUCUUUUUAGAGCUGCACCUACAGCAUAUGCAAGUUCCCAGGCUAGGGGUCGAAUCAAAGUUAUAGCCACUGGCCUACACCACAGCCACAGCAACACCAGAUCUGACCUGCGUCUGUGACCUACACCACCGCUCACAGCAAUGCCACAUCCUUAACCCACUGAGCAAGGACAGGAAUCGAAUCUGUGUCCUCAUGGAUACUAGUCAGGUUCAUUACUGCUGAGCCACAACGGGAACUCUCUUUAUAUUAGUUUCCAUUAUGGUCUAUCCCAGGAGAUUGGAUAUAGCUUCCUGUGCUAGAGAGUAGGACCUUAUCAUUUGUCCAUUCUAAAUGUAAUAGUUUGCAUCUACUAACCCCAAACUCCCACCAGAGUCCCUUCUGCCAGAGUAACUUUUUACCUAACAUUUUGUACUCAGAAUAUUCUACAAACUGAAGUAAAAAUAAAGAUUUUUUGGCAUCUUUUUAGGGCUACACCCUCAGCAUAUGGAGGUUUCCAGGCUAGGGAUCAAACUGGAGCUGUAGCUGCCAGCCUACACCACAGCCACAGCAACAUAGCAUCUGACCCGGAUCUGAGACCUACACCACAGCUCACGGCAGAUGCGGCUCAGAUCCCACGCUGCUGUGGCUCUGGUGUAGGCUGGUGGCUACAGCUCUGAUUUGACCCCUAGCCUGGGAACCUCCAUAUGCCACAGGAGCGGCCCAAGAAAUGGCAAAAAAAGACAAAAAAAAAGUGUUCUGAGAUACUUGUUUUAUUGGGUAAAUGGUCAAAGUACUGAUUUGUCUAAGAUUAUAGUAAUGCAAAGACAAAUGCUAUAAUGCAAAAUAUAACCAUCAAAAAUUGCAACACACACGUAGGCUAAAAGGAAAAUGAAAUAAAAAAUACUUGAUUCAAAAAGAAGG